AACGAACGCUGGCGGCAGGCCUAACACAUGCGAGUCGAGCGCCCCGCAAGGGGAGCGGCGGACGGGUGAGUAACGCGUAGGAACGUGCCCUUUGCUACGGAAUAGCCCCGGGAAACUGGGAGUAAUACCGUAUAAGCCCUACGGGGGAAAGAUUUAUCGGCAAAGGAUCGGCCCGCGUUGGACUAGGUAGUUGGUGGGGUAAUGGCCUACCAAGCCGACGAUCCAUAGCUGGUUUGAGAGGAUGAUCAGCCACACUGGGACUGAGACACGGCCCAGACUCCUACGGGAGGCAGCAGUGGGGAAUCUUAGACAAUGGGCGCAAGCCUGAUCUAGCCAUGCCGCGUGAGCGAUGAAGGCCUUAGGGUUGUAAAGCUCUUUCGUGGGGGAAGAUAAUGACUGUACCCCAAGAAGAAGCCCCGGCUAACUCCGUGCCAGCAGCCGCCGUAAGAC
rnacentral:rRNA from 1 species